rnacentral:rRNA from 1 species
CGGGGUGAGUAACACGUGGGUAACCUGCCUAAAAGAAGGGGAUAACACUUGGAAACAGGUGCUAAUACCGUAUAUCUCUAAAGAUCGCAUGAUCUUUAGAUGAAAGAUGGUUCUGCUAUCGCUUUUAGAUGGACCCGCGGCGUAUUAACUAGUUGGUGGGGUAACGGCCUACCAAGGUGAUGAUACGUAGCCGAACUGAGAGGUUGAUCGGCCACAUUGGGACUGAGACACGGCCCAA